rnacentral:rRNA from 1 species
GAUGAACGCUAGCGGCAGGCCUAAUACAUGCAAGUCGAACGGUUGUAGUGAUACAAUAGUGGCGCACGGGUGCGUAACACGUAUGCAACCUACCUUAUAGACGGGGAUAGCCUUUGGAAACGGAGAUUAAUACCCGAUAGUAACCUUGAUUGGCAUCAAUUAAUGUUUAAAGAUUUAUCGCUAUAAGCUGGGCAUGCGUCCAAUUAGUUAGUUGGUUAGGUAAUGGCUGACCAAGACGAUGAUUGGUAGGGGAACUGAGAGGUUAAUCCCCCACACUGGCACUGAGAUACGGGCCAGACUCCUACGGGAGGCAGCAGUAGGGAAUAUUGGGCAAUGGAGGCAACUCUGACCCAGCCAUGCCGCGUGCAGGAUGAAGGCGUUAUGCGUUGUAAACUGCUUUUAUAUAGGAAGAAAUAGACCUUGCGAGGUAAGUUGACGGUACUAUAUGAAUAAGCACCGGCUAACUCCGUGCCAGCAGCCGCGGUAAUACGGAGGGUGCAAGCGUUGUCCGGAUUUAUUGGGUUUAAAGGGUGCGUAGGCGGUUUAUUAAGUCAGUGGUGAAAGACGGUCGCUCAACGAUUGCAGUGCCAUUGAUACUGGUAGACUUGAGUGAGAUUGAGGUAGCUGGAAUGGAUAGUGUAGCGGUGAAAUGCAUAGAUAUUAUCCAGAACACCAAUUGCGUAGGCAAGUUACUAAGUCUCAACUGACGCUGAGGCACGAAAGUGUGGGUAUCAAACAGGAUUAGAUACCCUGGUAGUCACACUGUAAACGAUGAUACUAACUGUGNUUUCGGGUCAGUG